ensembl:lncRNA LINC01953 long intergenic non-protein coding RNA 1953
GACUUCUCCUAAUCUAUAAGCAGCAAGAGCAGAUGUGCUUGUAAGAAACAAAGAUCUUGUUUUCAUACAAAUGCGCUCAAAAUAAAACACAAAGGAAGAAAAAUACCCAGAGCACAUAAUGCAAAGAACAAGAAUUGCUUCUAAAUAGAAUGUUUUACAAAGUUUUCCAUAAAGCCUCAGCUGCUCCUCAAGCCACAACCGGCUUGAACAUGGAUGGCAGACAUGAAAUUACAGUAUUCACAAAAUUAGUAUUCAGUUUGCAGAAUCUCUCUUUCCAAAGCCUUCAGGCAUACUUUAUGCAUGCACAAUUACAGAAGCAGGGACAUGAGUAUUUGCAUAAGAGCCUUAUCUCUAAUUGCAAAGUGACACUCUUAAGACUGUUAAAAGAAACUAUUGUUCAAGGUAGAUGGAAUUAGAAGACCCUCAGCAUGUGGGACUUAUAUGCCAGCUGAAUAGACCCCAGACUAUCAGUGCACUCAGGGAAGUAAAGUUUGACAGUAUUUAUAUGCUUUACUUAUGAACUGGAUUUGGUAUCUUAGAAUAUUUUCUUUGAAAAGGUAGUUCCAUUUUUGGCUUUCUUGCUUCUUCAUAGUGCCAAUCUAGGUCAACAGGAGUAAGUGAGACCAUUGUUCCAUAUCCCGCUUAAAAAGAGAACACUACUUCAAAGACAAGAACAACAUCACCUGACAAAAAUAAAAGAAGUUAUCGGUUUUAAAA